AAGGUGUUCGUUAAAAACAUCAGGUUAUGGGCCCAGAGGUCGCCAAGGGAAGCUGCUAACACGUUUCUUUUGGGAGUCAUAAACAGAAUUGUGGGAUUCACAAUGGAAGAUAGACUGUUUAUUGACAAGCUGAGCGGACCGGAGAAUUGGGCAACGUGGAAAUUUCAACUGAAGCACCUGUUGAAGGCAAAAGGACUGUGGGGUAUGGUACAGGAGACGGAGCAGUUAGCUGCGGAUGCUAAUGCCCAAGCACGAGCUGAAUUUGAACGGAAGAAAGAAAAGGCAUUUUCAGUGCUGGUACUGAAUCACCCCUAUCACAUUGGUACGUCCCUCCAGGUAACCAUUGUCUUGUACAGUAGAGCGGGACAUUAGAUUUACUCUCAGCGGAAUUGACCGGAGAAGGCAUCAGUUCAUGCACUGCACUGGCCUGCACCACGAUUAGUAUAAGGUAAGAAUGAAUGACUUUUGUUCUAUUCGUUAUUUCCAUGGUUGCAUUUGAAUAACAGUAAAAAAAAAAAAAAAAAAAACUUGUUAAUGUAAAGUUUCGGAUAAAAUGUGGGAGCCCGAAAUUUUGUCUACUUUCAUCUUACAAUCCGGCAACAAAUAAAUUGCACUGCAAACAAAGUCUAUCAACAAAGAAAACAUUUUCGUUUCAUACUUUUCCGUUAUAUUCCCUUACAAAGCUAGCUUUAACGCUUCGAGGGUUCCUUUGUUCUUGCCGUCGCCUCGGCGCUUGACCCAGACUUUCGCUCUGUAGUUGCUUUUUAGCAUAGUACUACAAAAAAUUGUAAAUCUGUGAUAUAUGAUUGAUAAACGUAAAAGUAACUGUAUAAAUGUGUUCAAUGACUUUGUUACUUUUAAUGAUUGGAGAGCACCCACUUCGAUUCGCACUCAAUUCAAACUCUACGCUGCACGCUCACCUACCUUGCGUUUGCACCUUUUGUCCACACGUAAACUGCGUUUUCAUCAACUGAAAACAGAUUUUUUAAAGACGCCUGCCAGGGCGGAUAUUUUCGAAAACUCCGUUUUAGCAUUUACAUGUGGACAAAGGAAGACGGAGAAAACGCAGCGUCAAAGGUGUGCGCCUAUUUUGAUGCCACACUGUGCGCCAAGUUUUUGUCUCGGUGCCAUGAAUUCCUACAAUGGCAGACUUAGACAAAAUACUGUUAAUUUUAUUAUCUUCAGUGUUUAAAUGCUUACAUAUACACACGCAGUUGUAUGUUUAAAAAAAAAAAAGUUUGUUUUAUCGUGUGUGCUUGUAAUAGUUGCCUAUAUACAUUUUAAGCUAUUAUUUAUUAUUUAGUUCAGUCAAUAGAUCAAGUUUUGUAGUGACUAUGAAAUAUAUUGUAAUUAUCUGUUUCCUGUUUAUCCUAGACAGGGCAAAAAAGGACUCCAAAUUUUAAAAAAAGAUAAAAAUGAAAGACUGGUGCAUUGUGCAGUUCAGCACUGGUGGUACAGAAAUAGUCCCUAGUUCAUGGAUAAAUGGGGAGAAAUUGUCAUAGCCUCCAUAUCCUCCGUGAGACACAUUCAGGAUCCACGCCACAGUAAAGAGGAGAGUUCAUCCUGGUGCAACAUGGCUCACCUAUGCACCAGUCUGACUUCUAAUAAGCCAUGGCACAUUUCACGAAGCAGAACGCAGUCUUCAGAAAUAUCUAAGUGAACACUGUGAUACGUCUGACCUUCAGUCCGAAGCUGAAACUCAGACCAGUCAUAAAAGAAAGCAUAAACCAAAUCCCCUGUACACAUAUAGUGACUCAGAGGAUGAGCAGCCCACAAAAAAACGGUUUCCCCAGGCGCCUCGAGUGACAAUACCAGACCUGACAAGAGCUGUUAACGAACUCCGUGAGGAGGUCAGAGCCAUCCGCAAUACCGGCUGCAAUGAAUCGGUAGAUGCUGGGGUACUGCCUCUGGAUUUGCCCUUGCACAACAUUGAGGAGCUAAACAAUGCAGAGGCACCUCUUCAAUCACAAGAGGCAAAUAAGGCAAUGGUGAGACGCUUUACCUUGAUUGGAGGGACCACACUGGAGGUGCGAGUCCGCCGUGUAAUGGCUUAUGCCAUUACAAACGAGCUGGCCUCGGUACUAAACUGGGCAGGGAAAAAAACCAAGGACCAGACAAAGCAAAAAAGGGCAUUUAAAGAUACAGCGCUCUGCAAAUGCAUAUUUGAUGGCCUGACGCAACAGUUAGGGGCAAACUCUAUGUCCGAGUUUGUCUUUGCACAAGCAGUGCAGAAAUGGCUCCGAUACGCCCCAGAUCGUUUGGGUGGUGCAGGACGCACAUCAUGCAUCCCCAUCCCAGAGUAAAAAAUUACAAACUUCUGUGAAACAUAUAAAUGUAAAUAGGAAACUGUCUUUUAAUAAAGUAUUUAGCAAACGAAACAUGCCUAUUGACCUUUUUUUGUUUAGUUUUUUCUCUGUUACAUCACAUGCAAUGCUUUCUUAUUUUAGGAUAUUAAUAUUGACAUGAUACAUUGUGAGACAUUUGGUUUUUUUUUUUUUUUUAAAGGGUGUCCAAUUUGAGGAAUAAGUACAAUUAUGUGUUUAGGUGGUUUAAGUAUUGAUGGAAACAUGCAGUAGUUUAGUAUUGGUUAAAAUACCUAUAAAGAGAGGUAGAUUUCCAGUCAUGAUUUAACUGUUGUUUUAAUAAAAAGCAACUGUGCGAAAGAGGUGGAAAAUCAACACCAUAGCUCAACAGUGUUUCAAUAUCAGAAUCUGACAUUGUUUCAAUGUCAACAGUAUUAGAAAAUAUAACGUUGAAUCAAUGUCAGGUUUCAACAUUGAUUCAACAUCAAAACCUGACGUUUCAACGUUAAAAAAGGGUGCAAGAGUGACGUUAGGCCAACGUC
ensembl:lncRNA